rnacentral:rRNA from 1 species
GGAGGUUGAUCAUGGCUCAGAAUCAACGCUGGCGGCGUGCCUCAGACAUGCAAGUCGAACGCGAAAGUUUCCUUCGGGAGGCGAGUAGAGUGGCGCACGGGUGAGUAACACGUAGGUAAUCUACCUUUGGGUGGGGAAUAACAGCCGGAAACGGCUGCUAAUACCGCAUAAUGCAGCGGCUCGACAUCGAGACAGUUGUUAAAGCGGGGGCUUCGCAAGAACCUCGCGCCUAAAGAGGAGCCUGCGGCGGAUUAGCUAGUUGGUGAGGUAAUGGCUCACCAAGGCAUCGAUCCGUAGCCGGCCUGAGAGGGCGGUCGGCCACACUGACACUGACAUACGGGUCAGACUCCUACGGGAGGCAGCAGUCGGGAAUUUUGGGCAAUGGGCGCAAGCCUGACCCAGCAACGCCGCGUGAAGGAUGAAAUCCCUCGGGAUGUAAACUUCGCAAGAACAGGAAGAAUAAGUGGGGGACAAUACCCCCCAUGAUGACGGUACUGUUUGUAAGCUCCGGCUAACUCCGUGCCAGCAGCCGCGGUAAUACGGGGGGAGCAAGCGUUGUUCGGAUUUACUGGGCGUAAAGGGCGCGUAGGCGGUCGUGACAAGUCACUUGUGAAAUCUCCGGGCUUAACUCGGAAAGGUCAAGUGAUACUGUCGGACUAGAGUGCAGAAGGGGCAACUGGAAUUCUCGGUGUAGCGGUGAAAUGCGUAAAUAUCGAGAGGA